rnacentral:rRNA from 1 species
UUAUACAGCGAAACUGCGAAUGGCUCAUUAUAUAAGUUAUCGUUUAUUUGAUAGUACCUUACUACUUGGAUAACCGUGGUAAUUCUAGAGCUAAUACAUGCUAAAAAUCCCGACUUCGGAAGGGAUGUAUUUAUUAGAUUAAAAACCAAUGCCCUCUGGGCUCUUUGGUGAUUCAUGAUAACUUCUCGAAUCGCACGGCCUUGCGCCGGCGAUGGUUCAUUCAAAUUUCUUCCCUAUCAACUUUCGAUGUUUGGGUAUUGGCCAAACAUGGUUGCAACGGGUAACGGAGGGUUAGGGCUCGACCCCGGAGAAGGAGCCUGAGAAACGGCUACUACAUCCAAGGAAGGCAGCAGGCGCGCAAAUUACCCAAUCCCGACACGGGGAGGUAGUGACAAUAAAUACUGAUACAGGGCUCUUUUGGGUCUUGUAAUUGGAAUGAGUACAAUUUAAAUCCCUUAACGAGGAACAAUUGGAGGGCAAGUCUGGUGCCAGCAGCCGCGGUAAUUCCAGCUCCAAUAGCGUAUAUUAAAGUUGUUGUGGUUAAAAAGCUCGUAGUUGAACCUUGGGCCUGGCUGGCCGGUCCGCCUCACCGCGUGUACUGGUCCGGCCGGGCCUUUCCCUCUGUGGAACCUCAUGCCCUUCACUGGGUGUGACGGGGAAACAGGACUUUUACUUUGAAAAAAUUAGAGUGCUCCAGGCAGGCCUAUGCUCGAAUACAUUAGCAUGGAAUAAUGAAAUAGGACGUGUGGUUCUAUUUUGUUGGUUUCUAGGACCGCCGUAAUGAUUAAUAGGGACAGUCGGGGGCAUCAGUAUUCAAUUGUCAGAGGUGAAAUUCUUGGAUUUAUUGAAGACUAACUACUGCGAAAGCAUUUGCCAAGGAUGUUUUCAUUAAUCAGGAACGAAAGUUAGGGGAUCGAAGACGAUCAGAUACCGUCGUAGUCUUAACCAUAAACUAUGCCGACUAGGGAUCGGACGAUGUUAUUUUUUGACGCGUUCGGCACCUUACGAGAAAUCAAAGUGC